rnacentral:piRNA from 1 species
UAGAGACAUUUGCUCUGGACAUCUGC